GGCCUGGUGGUAAAGUGGUAUUACGCUGCGAUAAUUUAACAGGAAAUAUAUGUUGUUCGCCGGAGGUCCCCCGUUCGAUUCGGGGCCAGGCCA